GACGAACGCUGGCGGCGUGCUUAACACAUGCAAGUCGAACGGAAAGGCCCUGCUUUUGUGGGGUGCUCGAGUGGCGAACGGGUGAGUAACACGUGAGUAACCUGCCCUUGACUUUGGGAUAACUUCAGGAAACUGGGGCUAAUACCGGAUAGGAGCUCCUGCUGCAUGGUGGGGGUUGGAAAGUUUCGGCGGUUGGGGAUGGACUCGCGGCUUAUCAGCUUGUUGGUGGGGUAGUGGCUUACCAAGGCUUUGAUGGGUAGCCGGCCUGAGAGGGUGACCGGCCACAUUGGGACUGAGAUACGGCCCAGAAUCUUACGGGAGGCAGCAGUGGGGAAUAUUGCACAAUGGGCGGAAGCCUGAUGCAGCAACGCCGCGUGCGGGAUGACGGCCUUCGGGUUGUAAACCGCUUUCGCCUGUGACGAAGCGUGAGUGACGGUAAUGGGUAAAGAAGCACCGGCUAACUACGUG
rnacentral:rRNA from 1 species